rnacentral:rRNA from 1 species
UGUAGCGGUGAAAUGCAUAGAUAUUACACAGAAUACCAAUUGCGAAGGCAGAUUACUAACAAUACACUGACGCUGAGGGACGAAAGCGUGGGUAGCGAACAGGAUUAGAUACCCUGGUAGUCCACGCCGUAAACGAUGGUCACUAGCUGUUUGACUAACAUUGGUUAGUUGAGUGGCUAAGCGAAAGUGAUAAGUGACCCACCUGGGGAGUACGGUCGCAAGACUGAAACUCAAAGGAAUUGACGGGGGCCCGCACGAGCGGUGGAGCAUGUGGUUUAAUUCGAUGCAACGCGAAGAACCUUACCAGGACUUGACAUACUACAAAUUCUUUUGAGAAAAAGAAGUGCCUUCGGGAAUGUAGAUACAGGUGGUGCAUGGCUGUCGUCAGCUCGUGUCGUGAGAUGUUGGGUUAAGUCCCGCAACGAGCGCAACCCUUAUUUUUAGUUACCAAUUCGUUGGGUUCUCUAGAAAGACUGCCGGUGACAAACCGGAGGAAGGUGAGGAUGACGUCAAGUCAGCAUGCCCCUUAUGUCCUGGGCUACACACGUGCUACAAUGGUUAAGACAAAGAGUCGCGAGCUCGUGAGAGUCAGCUAAUCUCAUAAACUUAGCCCAAGUUCAGAUUGUAGGCUGCAACUCGCCUACAUGAAGUUGGAAUCGCUAGUAAUCGCUGGUCAGCCAUACAGCGGUGAAUCCGUUCCCGGGCCUUGUACACACCGCCCGUCACACCAUGGGAGCUGGUCAUACCCGAAACCGUUUGCUUAACCGUUUGGAGAGCGACGUCUAAGGUAGGGCUAGUGACUGGGGUGAAGUCGUAACAAGGUAACCGUA